AAAGGCAUCUUUUUGUUUUUAAAAGACCUUCUUCGGAGGGUAUGCUUAAAGAGGGGCUUGCGCCACAUUAGUUAGUUGGUGAGGUAAAGGCUUACCAAGAUUAUGAUGUGUAGCUGGACUGAGAGGUUGAACAGCCACAUUGGGACUGAGACACGGCCCAAACUCCUACGGGAGGCAGCAGUAGGGAAUUUUCGGCAAUGGAGGAAACUCUGACCGAGCGACGCCGCGUGAACGAUGAAGUAUUUCGGUAUGUAAAGUUCUUUUAUUGAAGAAGAAAAAAUAGUGGAAAAACUAUCUUGACGUUAUUCAAUGAAUAAGCCCCGGCUAACUAUGUGCCAGCAGCCGCGGUAAGACAUAGGGGGCGAGCGUUAUCCGGAAUUAUUGGGCGUAAAGGGUGCGUAGGCGGUUAGAUAAGUCUAUAAUUUAAUUUCAGUGCUUAACGCUGUCUUGUUAUAGAAACUGUCUUGACUAGAGUGAGAUAGAGGCAAGCGGAAUUCCAUGUGUAGCGGUAAAAUGUGUAAAUAUAUGGAGGAACACCAGAAGCGUAGGCGGCUUGCUGGGUCUUUACUGACGCUGAGGCACGAAAGCGUGGGGAGCAAACAGGAUUAGAUACCCUGGUAGUCCACGCUGUAAACGAUGAGUACUAAGUGUCGGGGGUAACCUCGGUACUGAAGUUAACACAUUAAGUACUCCGCCUGAGUAGUACGUACGCAAGUAUGAAACUUAAAGGAAUUGACGGGACUCCGCACAAGCGGUGGAUCAUGUUGUUUAAUUCGAAGAUACACGAAAAACCUUACCAGGUCUUGACAUACUCUGCAAAGCUAUAGAAAUAUAGUGGAGGUUAUCAGGGAUACAGGUGGUGCAUGGUUGUCGUCAGUUCGUGUCGUGAGAUGUUAGGUUAAGUCCUAAAACGAACGCAACCCCUGUCGCUAGUUGCCAGCACGUAAUGGUGGGGACUUUAGCGAGACUGCCAAUUAAAAAUUGGAGGAAGGUGGGGAUAACGUCAAAUCAUCAUGCCCCUUAUGAUCUGGGCUACAAACGUGAUACAAUGGCUAUUACAAAGAGUAGCUGAAACGCGAGUUUUUAGCCAAUCUCAAAAAGGUAGUCUCAGUACGGAUUGAAGUCUGCAACUCGACUUCAUGAAGCUGGAAUCGCUAGUAAUCGCGAAUCAGCAUGUCGC
rnacentral:rRNA from 1 species